UCAAGACUUCAACGUGACACCUGCAAGUGCAAGCUCGAGCAAAAACAGGGCAAUUUUAAAGAAUUUCAGUGGUUACUCCAGUUUAAGUUUUAUCCUUUACCUAUUCUCUCUGCACAGCUUUCUUCUUCCUCGUGAUUCGUGUUCCACCCCAUCCCAUGACCCCCACCCCAUGGCCCACCCACGAACAAACAAAAGUUCAUCAGUUACGGAUAGGGGCUGAGUAUGAAAGAGAGACGGGGUUUUUGGCUGGCAUUUGUGUUAGAAAAUUCUUUUGAACAAUACUGUUUAGCUCUUGCAUCUUUACUCUGUAGAAAACGAACGACUCUUGCAGCUGAUGGCUAUGGCAUUGCAUACUGCUGUACCUUUUUUGGGCACAUGGCUAUACUUCCCAAAUCCUAGAGGUAAAAUUUACGAAAUUAAGAAUUCCAUUUUUUGAAUAAUUGAAAAAUUGAAGUUUUUGUUUUGUUGUUUUACAUUUUUAAUGGGUUUUGUUUGAUUCUCUGAUAAGAGCUUUGUUCCAUUUCCCUUUGUUAAUCGUUUUUGGCAACAUUGAUUUUGCUAUGGAAAGACCAAAAUCUCAAGUCAAUUAUUUACCCACCUUUUAUUUUCUCAAUUAAUCCAUCGAUUUCUUAGUUGUUGUGUAUCAUUUUCCUUGAAUGGCUCAUUUUUGUUUCUUCUUUAUGAUUCUGAUUCUUGUAAAAAUUCAAUUUGUUAGAUCUUAGGAGGUUUACCGAAUACAGAUUAUCGCAAGAAUCAUUGAAAUAUUGAAGUUGCAGAAAAAUAAAACAAUGAACACAAAGGAUUUUUCGCCACAAAGGCGGCCUACUCACCACGUUGAGGAUCUACUAAGUAGAUAUAGUUCUAGAUCCACAGAACUAAAAACGUUACAAAUGUACGAAGAAACACGAUGUUUCUUCACUGUUUUUAUCUCGCCUCACACACAACUAUCAAAACACCACCACUAACUAGCACUAAGCAAUAUCACAGCUAUACAUCAAGUGUAGUAUCAAAAAUCACUCAGAUUUACAGAAAUCAUUUUCACUCAGAAAAUCAGUGGUUUGAGAGAAAAAGGAAAAUCCUAGAAUUCACUCAGAAUCGAUCUCUCUGGAAGAAGGAAUGAGGCGUCAAAACGUUUUAAUCAGGUGAGUCAAGGGUCAUUCAUCAACGGUGAGAAGAUGGCCAGAUGUAUGGCCAGAUUAUAUCCACAAAGGAGGCAGAAGUCACAUUUCAAUAGAAUGCGUUUCUCUUUGCAAUUUGGAUCAGAAACAUUUCAGUAAACCCGGCCCAACAGCCUUAAAAGGGCGAAGAGUGUGAGGCACUAUUAUUUGGGCUCAACACAAUUGCAGAAUUGUAUGUAUGUGAAGAAGUUUACAUGUGUGGCUAGAAGGUUAGAACUUUGUUGUCUUUGAAGUUGCAUUGAUGGUUUCUCAAUAGGAUAUGAAUUUGUUUAGAGUGUUUCAAAUCCUUUUUUCCCCCUAUAUUACAAGUUAAUUUUAUUUUCUUCGAAUUUAAAAUACUUUGUUGGUAUUAACAGCCCAGAAAAAUCAAAUUAAUGAUGGGAAAUUAAAUAACACCAAGAACUUUUAACCGAAGGCCCGGAUGUUCACCCAAAAAGUGGCUAUUCACGACGUUGAGCAUCCACCAAAGUGGUUAUCACUCCAAUCUACUAGAAACCAGCAAAAAUUUAUCAGUUCAAGAUUCACAACUCAAAGAUCCAAUGGAUUUAGCUCUCGUACCCAAUUUUUCUCUUAAGAAUAUCUUCAACAGAUUACACCAAGUAACCAAAAGGUUACAGCUCAACCAAGAACAGAAUCAUCCUUUCCUCAAAGUAAUCUACACUAGAAUUCACCAAAAAUAUCUAAAAACCUAGGAUUAUAGACCAAAAAACCAGAAGUUUUUGAGAGAGAAAACACAGGAAAAUGAAUUAGAAGAAAACCCUAGAACCUUCUCACGUGUUUUAGCAAAUGAGGAGUCAAGACAUAUAGUACAAAGGGUCAGAAUGCAUCCAAUGGUUGCACCAGCUCCAUGUGGCAUCAUCUCAGUCUUUCAACUUAAUAUACCAAAUUUGCACUCAAUAAAAUGCAAGAAUGCUCAAAUGGAAGGCAGCUGGUUCACAUUCCAUCAUUGGGCUCAAGUAUUGGGUUCCAUUAUUGGCCCCAAAGUGUUAAGCAUAAUGUUUAACAUACUUAAUGUGAAUGAAUAAUUGAGAAUGUUAUGUCGAUAAAAGAGGUUAAAGAUUGUGAUGAAAAUGUUAUGUUGAUAAAAGAGGUUAAGAUUAUGAUGAAACCUCAUCUCAAAAGGACAAUUUGCUGAAGAAAAACUACUUGAAUAAAGGGCAUUAUUAGGACAAAUACAGAUCAAACUAAAGGUAUUAAGCAUAAUAGAUGUUAUGUUGUUGGAGAUAAUUGCAUUUUGAUUGAGUUAUUGAUACAAGGAAAAAGGAAUUAAAUGAGAACAUUUGUAAGAUGGGAGAAAAUUCACCAUUUCAUUUUUAGUUUUUUCUGAAUGUGAGCGUGUUGACAUUAAGAUGAACUAUCAGUGUUCAUCUCUCGAAAUUUAGAUCUGGAUUCUUGAAUUUUUGACGAGAAACUCACCUGUAAUCUGCUAGUUUAGAAGCAAAAGUAACGCAUGAAGCUAUUACAUUAUAUUAGAGAAACAUUAUAGAAGGAAAACAUUGUCCAAGUCUUCAUAGAGCUGCUAUAACCAUAGGGUAUAAUCAUGUCGUAAGUGACAGUCUCUAAUUGUUCCAAAUGGAUUUUUAUUAUUCUCCAUUCGUUUCUACAUUUUGGGUUAUAAUCUGGAUCCCAGGAACAUUAUUGACGCACACACUAUUCAUUAAUACAAUUACAACACUAUUUCUAGAAAACAUGGUACAUGGCAAAGUACAUUGGACUCCAGAGGCAGGAAGAGGAGAGAGUAGAAAGACUAUGAAGCUCAACACAACUCAUGAUAGUUCUUGCUCAAAAUUAGCUGGUUUUUGGUGGUUAGUUCAUAAUCCUGUUGGGAAGCUGCUAAAUGCUAAUAUUAGUAACAUAUCUUACUUUCUCUUAUGUAACAUUGCAACCUGGCGCAUCCUAUGUACCGAACUGUGCAAACAAUCUUGCUGUGGUUAUCUUGCUGUUCUGUGACUCUUUCUUUUCACAAUGUUUGAUUUAAUCUGACUUUAUUCUUUCUUUUCAGGCCUGGAAGUGUUUACCGUGGAGGUUCGGAUUUGUCCAAGUUUUAAAGAUGAGUGAAUCAGCACUUUGCUAAAACAUGUAGAUUGUUAAACAUGUCAUUAUCGUAGUAGGGGAUGAAGCCAUUGGUCCGCAAAGCAUCUGUAACAUAUGACAAUUCCCAUAACGGGAUUGAUGUGAAACUAAAUCUUAUAUUUUGGAGUGUUUGAGGAUUCUGAAAAUUCCAUUUUUCAAAAUUUACUUUCCUUUGAUUACUCUUGUGAUUUCCAUAUUUAUCAAGCAUCAAUUCAAUUCUCUGUUAUCUUAGAAACAUUGAGAAUUUAUUGCCUAGUAACGUAAAUGGUUUUUGCUGCUUGCAUGAGAGCUCUGGGCAUCUUUUCUGUUUGAUGUUAAGUCAUUUUUUUGUUCUAUUGUAGUGCACGAUUAGAUCAUCAAAGUCCUUGCUUAAGGAUGAUGUAGGUGAUUGGGACUUCUGAAAGCUUUUUUUUAAUUGAUGGACUUCUGUGGAAUUUGUGAACUUUAAAUCAUGACUUUGCACUUGUUCUGCAUUAAUG
rnacentral:lncRNA from 1 species